rnacentral:rRNA from 1 species
AUACGGAGGGGGCUAGCGUUGUUCGGAAUUACUGGGCGUAAAGCGUACGUAGGCGGACUGAUCAGUUGGGGGUGAAAUCCCAGGGCUUAACCCUGGAACUGCCUUCAAUACUGUCAGUCUUGAGUUUGGGAGAGGUGAGUGGAAUUCCUAGUGUAGAGGUGAAAUCCAUAGAUAUUAGGAGGAACACCAGUGGCGAAGGCGGCUCACUGGCCCAUUACUGACGCUGAGGUACGAAAGCGUGGGGAGCAAACGGGAUUAGAAACCCUAGUAGUCC